rnacentral:rRNA from 1 species
UACGAAGGGAGCUAGCGUUGUUCGGAAUCACUGGGCGUAAAGCGCACGUAGGCGGAUGUGUCAGUCAGGGGUGAAAUCCCGGAGCUCAACUUCGGAACUGCCUUUGAUACAGCACAUCUGGAGUCCGGAAGAGGUGGGUGGAAUUCCUAGUGUAGAGGUGAAAUUCGUAGAUAUUAGGAAGAACACGGUGGCGAAGGCGGCCCACUGGUCCGGUAC